rnacentral:pre_miRNA from 1 species
CGGUGAUGAUAACGAUGAUGAUGGUGAUGAUGGUGAUGAUGAUGAUAAUGAUGAUGAUCGUCAUCGUCAUUAUCAACGUCAACUUCAUCAACAACA